rnacentral:lncRNA from 1 species
AAAAGUUUCAGCCUGAGCUCGCACCGUGCCAGAUGGGUGAUGUGUAGAGUAUUGAAUUUGCUGACGGAAACUUCAUCUUGCUUUCUUCAGCUUGUCCAUCUGAGGCAAGACGCCUUGGAGCCAGGGCAGCCACACAGGCAGGAAGACUGCAUAUUAGAUUUUUUUAUCAUUACAUUCAGUCUUGCUCAUCAUCCAUUUGUUUGUUUACCUGCCAGGAUAGCCCUCAAGUAACUGAUUGCGGAAUUUAAUACAUUUGAUCUACUCAAAACUGACACACAUUGAUUUACUCCCUCCAAUCUGCAGGCAGCUGUGGCUGAGCAGAAGGUAGUUAGCGAGGAUUAAGUGGGUGCUGUUGAGACCAAACGAAGCUUCCUGAUUUUGUGUGCAGAGUGGAAGAUAACUCUAGAGUUCCCUAUCAAGUGUGGGUACCCCGCAAGCCCCAGCUGGCCACUCAGGUGUGCGUUAUGCCGUAAACUAGCAUCAGCUGGACUCUGAGAUGCAAGGAACGCUUUUCACCAAAACCCAGUCAGAGCCUAUGAUGCACUUUUAAUAGACUUGCUUAAAGAAAGAAUGGGCCUUUUUGUUUUAAAAGAGUACCUUCGCAUCUGCUGUAUUCCCACUGUGUUUGUUUGGAGACGGAACUCAUUCACUGUGAGCAGGCUUUGUCUUCAAGGCAGGCUUGUGCUUUUGUCGAGUCAGAGUCAUUUCGAGUAUCCUGAGAGAUGCCUGGCCUCGGGUCAGACAAGACUGGAUUUGAGUUCUGGCACCAUAACUAUUACCUUGGUGACUCGAGGGAACUUUCUUUUUAUUUCCAAUUCAGUGUUAUUUAUUGAGUUGCCUAGCAUAGGCAUUUCACAUGUAUUUUAUCAUUAAGUCUUCCAAAUCUUACUGAGGAUUAGGUAUUGGACUUCAUUUAUUAAAAGUUUUAAAUGUUGCAGUACAUUAGAAAAACUAAAGAGCAUAAAGAAAACCAAAAAUAGACUAAAGAUUAAUAUAAUGAGUCCACAUAUAUCUACCAGCCAGCUUAGGAAAUAAAGCAUUAUCAAUUCUGUUGAAGCCUCUUGUGUGCCAGUUUCAGCUAGGAAUUAAGGACAUGUGACAGAAAAUCCAAAUACAAGUGGCACAUAGAAGAGUUUAUUUUUCUUUCAGGUAUGAAAAGUUUGGAGGUAGUUAUUUCGAUGACCCAGGCUUUUUGAGUUUCUGUUCCUUCAUUUUGGGGACAUGGCCCUUACCUUCAUGCUUACAAAAUGGCUACAGAAUCUGCAGUCAUCACGUCUGCAUUCCACAGAGAAGGAAGGGCCAGGCCACAGGGCUUUUCAAGGAGUCCCCUUCAGUAAAUCUAGAGACCAGAAUUGAACUAGAAAGUGUAGUUAUUAACAGACCAUUUUGCUGUCGACAUAACAUAGGUUCUGUUGGUACUGACAAGAGGAAGGGUUAUUAGGUGGGCAGCUAGCAGCGUUCCCUGAGGGCACCUCUGACCCCUACUAAGAUCAUUACUCUCCUAAUUUAAGAGAGUUUUUUUUCCCCCCUGCAUCUCUUUCUAGUCUUAUUAUCUAUAUAUGUUUCCCUCACAAAUACCUAGGCUCCUUCCUCAAGGUUUUGAAGCUGGUGUUCCUCCACAGCUUGCCCGCCCCAGUUGUGCUUACCACAUCAGCCUGGCCGUCUUCAUUGCCGUGAGCCCUCCAGCUUAGGGCCACGCACACUUCACUUCUCCAUGGGCUUUUUUGGACAUGCGGGUUUUCAGUUUUCCCUGAACACAGGUCUUGUUGCUGGGAACUUCCUCCUUUGUUCCUGUGCCCAGAGCUGCAGCCUGGAGUCGUGGCUUGGGAGUGGACUUGCUGGCUUUUCACCUGCAGGUGUUCCUCAGCACUCCUGGACAGUGCCUGGAGAGUGCCGGCUUCUCUACACAAUGCACACAUUGAUCUAUAAGGUCAGCACAAUGUGUGAGUGCUCCCUGCCUGUUUUCUCUCCAGCGUUUGGAAUUAUGGGGCUUCCAGACCAGUCUCUUGGGUGUGAAAUGGCACUGCCUUGUGGUUUUUGUUUUGUUUUUUUAGUUUUAUUGAGAUAGAAUUGGCAUACAUUUUUGAAAUUUCCAUACUUUCAGUGUGCAUAUUUAAACAGCUUUGUUGGGGUAUGAUUAAUACACAAUAAACUGCAGAUAUUUAAAGUGUGCAGUUUGAGAGCUUCACGUAUGCAUGCACCAUGAAACGGUCACAGCCCCAGUAAUGAACACAGCCUCACCCAAGUUCCUCAGUCCUCUCUCAUUCCUCCCUCCCGAGACCUCCUGUGGGCAGGUAACCACGGAUCUGCUUUCUCUCACUGCAG